GAUUUCAUUUCCUUUGUUUUGCCCGAACAAAUUCUUUUCUCUCUCUCCUUAUCUUUCUCUUCGCGACAUUGACAAAAGAAAAAUUGCUCAAUCUUUGAAAAACCAGAACAAUUAACGCCGGUGAUUGUUUGUAUUUCGCUAUGUUAUCUGAGACUUUCAACGAUGGAUUCAUCAAGGCAACAAACGAUGUUCACAUCGGCGGAAGUUUGCUUAAAUCGAAAAAUAGCAAAUUGGAUUCGGAGAGUUAUCGCCGACGCCUUCCCCAAAUUAGUGUUAAUGGCGGAUAAGCAAGUGGUUGUGAGUUAAGGAGAAACUGUAAAGGAAUUCGUCUAUGCACUUCAAUGAAGUUUAUCAUCACCGGUUGGAGACAAAGAUAGACAAAGACACGUAACUUGCAACUCAUGUUCCACUUGAUGCCAAAAGAGACAUAUGAUUCGUUUGCUUUGUUGUCUUUUUUUUAGCUUUGUAUGUUUCCACCACAUGUAUCUUUUUAGCUUUGUAUUUUCUUACACACCUUGUCUUUUAUUUAACUUUGUAUUUGGACCACAAGUUGUCUUAUUUUAGCUUUGUAUGGUCAUGUAUAUUCGAUCACAAGUUGUUGUUCUCUUUUUUUGGUUCUGAUCCUAUAUAUAAUUGAUGUUCUUCAUUUCAAUUCAC